CCUACGGGAGGCAGCAGUGGGGAAUUUUGGACAAUGGGCGCAAGCCUGAUCCAGCCAUGCCGCGUGUGGGAAGAAGGCCUUCGGGUUGUAAACCACUUUUGUCAGGGAAGAAACGGCUUUUUCUAAUACAGAGAGCUAAUGACGGUACCUGAAGAAUAAGCACCGGCUAACUACGUGCCAGCAGCCGCGGUAAUACGUAGGGUGCAAGCGUUAAUCGGAAUUACUGGGCGUAAAGCGUGCGCAGGCGGCUUUGCAAGACAGAUGUGAAAUCCCCGGGCUCAACCUGGGAACUGCAUUUGUGACUGCAUGGCUAGAGUACGGUAGAGGGGGAUGGAAUUCCGCGUGUAGCAGUGAAAUGCGUAGAUAUGCGGAGGAACACCGAUGGCGAAGGCAAUCCCCUGGACCUGUACUGACGCUCAUGCACGAAAGCGUGGGGAGCAAACAGGAUUAGAUACCCUGGUAGUCCACGCCCUAAACGAUGUCAACUGGUUGUUGGACGGCUUGCUGUUCAGUAACGAAGCUAACGCGUGAAGUUGACCGCCUGGGGAGUACGGCCGCAAGGUUGAAACGUCAAAGNUAGUGCGNGNGAGAGCGACGAGACGACGAGGAGGGAGAG
rnacentral:rRNA from 1 species